GACAGAGGGUGCAAACGUUGUUCGGAAUUACUGGGCGUAAAGCGCGUGUAGGCUGCUUCGCAAGUCGGAUGUGAAAGCCCUGGGCUCAACCCAGGAAGUGCAUUCGAAACUGCAGAGCUGGAGUCCUGGAGAGGAAGGCGGAAUUCUCGGUGUAGAGGUGAAAAUUCGUAGAUAUCGAGAGGAACACCGGUGGCGAAGGCGGCCUUCUGGACAGUGACUGACGCUGAGACGCGAAAAGCGUGGGGGAGCAAAACAGG
rnacentral:rRNA from 1 species